AUUCUCAUAAGAUUUACCAGCCCUGACCAUAACAUUCUGCUAGGGAUUCCCUUCUCCUCUCAUUUUCCCCAAGCAGUGCAACCAUUUUUUAUUCCAAUACUCAGGGCAUUUUCAGAUCACCUUUGGCUAUUUCAUAUUCUUUCUUAAUAUCCAAGCAUUCAUCAAAUUUUGUUCUUUUAUUACUUAAUUCAGUACUAAUGGGUCAGAUACCACAUGAGAAAGUCUACAAUAAUAGUUAUUUAAUUUGCCUGUGCUUUAGAAUUUUCAAAGGGUACUCACAUGCAUUGUCUUAUUUAAUUCUUGCAAUAGCUCUCUGAAACAGAUGAUUUGUAUUUUACAGAUGAAGAAAUGGAAGCCCACAGGGAGCCAAAAUCAGACAGUUAAUGAGAGGAAGAGUUGGAAUUAAGUCUGGAUCUCUUGAGUUCUAGAGUUCAGUGUCUUAGUCCAUUUUCUGUUGCUGUAACAGAAUACUUGAAAGAAGGUGAUUUAUAAAGGAAAGAAGUUCAUUUAGCUCACAUGUCUGGAGGUUGGAAGUCCCAGGUCAAGUGGCAGAAUCUGGCAAGGAUUUCUUGCUGCAUCACAUCACAGUCGAAAGCAUAAGGUAUUUGAAGAAUUUGAGCUACCACUUCUUACAGCAAACAAGAAAUAUCAAAUAUAUACUGAAUGCACAUGUGGAUGCUUGCAAGAGCUGAUUAGUGAUGAGCCAGGGACAGAAUGAAAGGAGGCAGAAAAUACAGGAGAAGAAGAUAAACUGGCAUUUGAUUUAUCUGGGGGACAGAAAAGUGUGAAAGAAAAUUGAUUAGAAGUGGGCCAAAAAGAUGAACCUGGAGUGUUUUAGAUUAUUCAAGGAGGAAGUUAGAAUUCUUGAGAAUGGUUUAUGCUGAAAAAGCUAGGAAAGAAAUUGGUCAUUGGGUUUUACUUAUGGAUUUCUCUAAAGCAUGGAAUGUGUGUGUGUGUGUAUGUGUGUGUGUGUGUGUGUGUGUAUGUGAGCGCACACUUCAGGAAGCUGGGCUUUCUCAUGACAUCCUAUUUAUCUAUUUGUAUAUAAAUGAAUUAUUUACCCUUUGAUGAUUCUGUGGGAAUUCUAAAAUGGGCAGAAUUAUAGAGUUAUCAAAGUAAGAUCUAAGCAACAUCUAGAAACCAGAGAGAGUGGGCAUUGCUCCUGGAAAGACCAUCAUAAUUUGUAGUAUCACAAAUGCAUCUACCAUAGAACUAGACCCUCCUCCUUAGUGAAUGGUGUGGUCACCCCUGUGUUUGGACACUGUUGGUCAUCACAGAAGGGAUUACUUAUACAUUCUUCCACAAGUUCCUCUGUUCUGAUGUAAGAGGAACUAAAGCAGCUUAUCUGACUUCCAAUAUGGAGGGAGACGUACAACCUAGGAAGAGAGGAUUUCAACCUCCUUGGGAGGUCUGGGACUAUAGAUAUUAGUGUCAAUUCAAAGACUGCAUAUAGAAAACUGUCAAGAACAAGUAGAUUAAGAAAUGGAAGCUGGGGGGUAGUUUAGCCAGUCUAGACUGCUGAAGUCAUAUGGGACUAAGGAGAAAGUUUUGACUGUUCCUAACUGGGUCAGGCUGGACAUCCCCCACAUUGUGUACCUAUAACUUGAGGUUGACAUAUAGUCAGUAUUUUUAAGAUCUUCACAUUUUCUGCAACUAGUUUAAGAAGAGCUCAUGACCAAGGAGAACUAAGGAAAAACACUGCAUUUCCAGAACCUGGUUUGAGGAACAAAAAACAGCAUUCACACUUUGGUUUGGGGAAUAACUUUGUAUUUCCUUCUACCUCUUAGUAGAAUAAUAAUCUACUUGGGGCAAGGGUCAGGACAACUGAAAUAUAAUUAGAAACAUACUGAUCUGAGACUGGAAAUUUUCUUUUUCAAGCUCAGCACUUUGCUAUUUAAUUGCAGUAUGCUCUGUAAAUGUACUUAACCUUCAUCUAUCAAAUAGAAUAAUAAUACUUCUCAGGGUUGUUCAGGUUAAAUAUAAUGAUAUCUGAGAAGAUGUUUAUAUCUGUCAAUUUGCUUGUUUUUAUGUCUGAAACUUUUAAAUAUAGAAACUAUUAAAACUAGAGAUAAUAAUUGAGUUCUGACUAUGUGUUAGGCACUGCACUAAGGAGUUUAUAUGCAUUAUCUAUCCUUGGAAUAUUUGUACUUAUGUAGGUAAUAUUUUUGUCCACAUUUUGCAGAUGAGUAAAUUAAGGCUUAAAGAAACUAACAAACUAGCUCCCAGGUAACAUAACUGCUGGAUGGCAGAGCCAGAAGUUAAUUACCACUUGUCUCUCUAAAGAUGGGGCCAUCUUGACCUUUGAACUCCAGCAUCAUGAGAGACAAUGGGUUGACUCUUAAGAACAUGUGGUUGUAUUAUAAUGAUCUGGAGGAGCAGAAUUGUUGGGUAACCAGAGGCUUGUUUGACAAAAGACACAGAUCAGCAUCAUUGAAGGCAAAAGCCUAUAACAUAGGAGCCCCGCUAAAUUUGAAUUUUUAUAAACACUGAGUAAAUUUUAAUAUAAGUAUAUACCAUGCAAUUAUUGGAACAUGCUUAAACUAAAAGUGAUUUUGUCGUAUUUUUAUGUGAUGAAUCAGGCAACACUGAUAUGACAGGGUAUUUGUUUCAGAAUGAGCCAGAAUCUAUCAGAACCCAAACCUGUGAUUUGGUUUCAGAGCUUGGCUGGGAACUGAGAGGUGUGUCUGGAAGUGGGAGAGGUGAAGGUCAGUGAGAUGCACUAGAUAAGACUGCAUCAGGCUCAGGACAUCCAUAUUCUAGGCCUCACUCCUCCUGCCUGAACCGGCUCCACCUUGCCCUGCCUGCUGUGAUGUGGCACAAGAGGUCUCCACAGGUUCUGCAGCCAAAUGCCCUUUGUGACUGAGCUUUACAUCAGAAGACUUCAAAGUCAGCACAGCAUAAAUAGGUGUUGUUUCCAGGAACCAAAGGUUUGGGAAGAAAAGUGGCCAUGAAACAGGGGGGUAGCCCACAAUUCUCUUACAAGAGUGAGGGUAUGGAGGGAAUUUACAUGUGAAAACUGAAAAACAAUUCAUUCAGAGCCAAUUUCAGCUCAGACCAGGGGGAAAAUUGCUGUUCAAAUUGGUAUUUCCAUUGCCAGGUUUAUUGACAAAAAUGAAAUAAAAAAGCCUUUUUGUUUUAUGAAUUUGUUGUCAAUUACAAAAAAUAGAGGGAUUUAUAUUCACCAGUUGGUGACAUACUGGAUUUUGACAAGCCUUUUCUUUUAUAAAGUGUAAAAAUCCUUAUGGUUGAGCCAGAAUACACCCUCACUCCAUGGAGAGCAAUGUGGCUCUGGGUUUUUGGAUAGAAUCUUUCAUCUGUGCAUGCAUCAGUGAAUUCUUCCCUCUUCCCAGGAGGCCUGUCCUCAUUUUGAAACUGAGGAAAGCAGGAGUCAGAUAAAGGAAGUGACUUUUCCAAGGUCACAGGUGGACGAAAGUGGUGGUUGCUACAUAAUGCUGAGCUCAGAUUCUCUACAGCUGGCCUAGACUCUCAUUCUCCCUAAGCCCUGAAGCAUCCUUCCCCACCUGACCAGGGAAGUCCAGGCUGUCCAGACCUCUGUCCUCAUAGCUUUACAAUCACCUAUGGCUCAGAAGCCGGCUACUCUUCCUGUUGGCUCUGCCAUCUCCCAGCCCUCUUUCACCAUUGUCUACAAUCUUUCUCAGCUUAAUUCAUUUUGAAAUGUGUAGGGAUCAUAACUUGUGGGGUCGUACAAGAAGCCAGCAGCCCUUCCAUAA